ensembl:snRNA U6 U6 spliceosomal RNA
GUGUUCACUUUAGCAGCAUGCAUACUAAAAUUGGAAAUAUACAGACAAGAUCAGCAUGACCUGUGUUCAAAGAUGACAUAAAAAUUCAUGAAGAUUUAGUGAUAGAC